rnacentral:snRNA from 1 species
GUGCUCGCUUCAGCAGCAUAUCUACUAAAAUUGGAAUAAUACAGAGAAGAUUAGCAUGGCCCCUGCACAAGGAUGACACGCAAAUGUGUGAAGAGCUCUAUAAUUUU